rnacentral:lncRNA from 1 species
GUGGGUUCGAGCUGGCGCUGGAAUGGGAGCCAAGAGCGAGUGAGCGGGGAGGGGGCGCCGGCGACACCCAGGUGUCGCAUGGCAGGGUCCACGAGGUGACCUGCCUGGGCCAGCAGCGCGCAGCUUGCACGAGUAUGCGCUAGGGCACCCACUCCAGUUCCCCACGCACACCCGAGGGAGGCCUGCCCCGCCUGCUGAGCGCUGUUUUCUCCAGGUCCCAGGCCGAUGUCCCAGGUGAGCGGUCAGUGCCCUUCUCGCUGCGACGCGCCUCAUGGAGUCCCCAGCGCUGCCCUGGAUCCAGCCCAGACCAUGUCCCUCCUCCCUGGGCUGGAGGUAGUAGCAAGAUCCACUCACCCUGCAGAGGCAUCGUCAGAAGAGGGCUCCCAGGAGGAGGCAGUACCCUCCAUGCCCCAAGACGGUGGUCUUGGGGUUCACCAGGCUCUAAACAGCACUGACCUCGAUGUCCCCACAGAAGCUGUGACGCGUCAGCCUCAAGGGAACCCCCAAGGCUGCACCCCACUACUGCCAAAUGGCUCCGGCCACGACCACCUCUCAGAACCAGGCGGUGCCGGGCAUGCGGGGAACGGUGCUCUGGGCGGGACCAAGGCCCACCGGAAGUUGCAGACGCAUCCAUCUCUCGGCAGCCAGGCCGGAAGGAAGAGCAAAGGCAGCACCCGGUCAGCCUCACAGGUUCCCCUCCAGGCUCAGGAAGAUUGCUGUGUCCACUGCAUACUGUCCUGUCUCUUCUGUGAGUUCCUGACCCUCUGCAACAUCGUCCUGGACUGCGCCACCUGCGGCUCCUGCAGCUCCGAGGACUCCUGUCUCUGCUGCUGCUGCUGUGGGUCCGGCGAGUGUGCGGACUGCGACCUGCCCUGCGACCUGGACUGCGGCAUCCUGGAUGCCUGCUGCGAGUCGGCAGACUGCUUGGAGAUAUGCAUGGAGUGUUGCGGACUCUGCUUCUCCUCCUGAUGCCACAGGGUGGUCCCAGAGCUGCCGCACGGAGCCUGAUGGCUCCCCUGACCCCGGGCGGGCCCCCUUAGAAUCCCAAGCCAGAUGUGAGAAGGCGGGACGCUGAGAGGGGCCCGCCUCAGCCGCGAACAGGUCUGCCUUCAGACGCAUAACCUGGCCCCCUCGGUGCGUGACCAGGAACACGGCGUAUAGAGCCUGGUGGGGCAGAGCCAGUUAGAGCUGCCAAGACUCCAGAACACUGUGAACGGUAGGGGAGGGUGGGGCAGGAAUGGGAGGCCCAUGUCCUUCUCUACCUCUGCUCCAGGUGCCUGCCUCCCUCAGCCUCCCCCAGCUUUGAGGACAGAAAAUGUGAAAAGGCACCUGUCCCACCCAUUGUCGGCCCCCGCUCUUCCCCCCCUCCCCCAGCUCAUUCACUGGGUCUUGUCCGGGCCUAACCCAUAUGGUGACCAAGAGGACGGGGGUUUGGGACGGGUGUGGGUGGGUGGGGACAAUAUGGAAAAGACUGGAAGGAGGUAGAGGGAGGGUCUGUUCUUUUCAUUGCUGUAAAUAAAGAUAUCCGUUCAAUCUCCA